AGGGGGAUAACAAUUGGAAACGAAUGCUAAUACCCCAUAUGCUUUUUGAGUGAAAUGGAUUUUAUCCGCCUAGAGAGAAGCUCGCGGCUGAUUAGCUUGUUGGUAAGGUAAGAGCUUACCAAGGCGACGAUCAGUAUCUGGUUUGAGAGGACGAUCAGACACACUGGAACUGAGACACGGUCCAGACUCCUACGGGAGGCAGCAGUGAGGAAUAUUGGUCAAUGGGCGCAAGCCUGAACCAGCCAUGCCGCGUGCAGGAAGAAGCAUCUAUGGUGUGUAAACUGCUUUUAUACAGGAAGAAACAACUCUACGUGUAGAGUCUUGACGGUACUGUAAGAAUAAGGACCGGCUAACUCCGUG
rnacentral:rRNA from 1 species